GACGAACGCUGGCGGCGCGCUUAACACAUGCAAGUCGAACGGAAAGGCCUGCUUUCCCUUGUGGAUUGCGGGUACUCGAGUGGCGAACGGGUGAGUAACACGUGAGUGAUCUGCCCCCAACUUGGGUAUAAGCCUGGGAAACUGGGUCUAAUUCCCGAUAGGACUGCAGGGUGGUGCCUGUUGUGGAAAACGAUUUUCUAGUGGCUGGGGAUGAGCUCGCUGCCUAUCAGCUUGUGGGUGGGGUCAUGGCCGACCAAGGCGGCGACGGGUAGCCGGCCGAGGAGCGGGGACAGGCGGACUGGGACUGGGACAAGGCCCCGACUGGUGCGGGAAGCAGGAGUUGUGAAAAAUGGACCAUAGGCCGAAGCCUGAUGCAGCGAGGGCGGGUGGGGGAUGACGGGCUUCGGGUUGUAAACUGCUUUCGACCGCGAGGAAGCCACCUGGUUGGAAGGGUGGUGACGGUAGUGGUAGAAGAAGCACCGGCUAACUACGUG
rnacentral:rRNA from 1 species